rnacentral:rRNA from 1 species
CACGUAGUUAGCCGGCGCUUCUUCUGCAGGUACCGUCACUUUCGCUUCUUCCCUGCUGAAAGAGGUUUACAACCCGAAGGCCGUCAUCCCUCACGCGGCGUCGCUGCAUCAGGCUUUCGCCCAUUGUGCAAUAUUCCCCACUGCUGCCUCCCGUAGGAGUCUGGGCCGUGUCUCAGUCCCAGUGUGGCCGGUCACCCUCUCAGGCCGGCUACCCGUCGUCGCCUUGGUGGGCCAUUACCCCAACCAACAAGCUGAUAGGCCGCGAGUCCAUCCAAAACCGCAUAAAGCUUUCCACCACCAUGGCAUGCGCCAGGUGGUCGUAUCCGGUAUUAGACCCGGUUUCCCAGGCUUAUCCCGAAGUUAAGGGCAGGUUACUCACGUGUUACUCACCCGUUCGCCACUAAUCAUUCUGUGCAAGCACAGAAGUCAUCGUUCGACUUGCAUGUGUUAAGCACGCCGCCAGCGUUCAUCCUGAGCCAGGAUCAAACUCU